rnacentral:lncRNA from 1 species
GUACUUUUCAGACAAGAACUCUGUUCUCUUCUCGCUCCUUGUCGAUUGUUUUAUUCGUCGCUGAAAAGCAGAAUUAGGGUUUCGAUCAUGGCCACUUGCACUACUUUUGCCCUCCGAAGAAGCGAAGGUUGGACAUAGCCUCGGGAGAAUCGAAAUCCUACGCGACACGUCCAAAUCUCCGGUCUUUCAACCCGGACGACGAUGAGUGCAUCCGACAGUACAUCUUGUAUUACUACCA